AGAUCGAGGUAAUCUCCGCGGUGAGGGAGGAGGCUCUUGGGUUGUAAACCUCUUUUCUCAGGGAAGAACAAAAUGACGGUACCUGAGGAAUAAGCAUCGGCUAACUCCGUGCCAGCAGCCGCGGUAAUACGGAGGAUGCAAGCGUUAUCCGGAAUGAUUGGGCGUAAAGCGUCCGCAGGUGGCAUUGCAAGUCUGCUGUCAAAGGUCAGGGCUUAACCCUGAAAAGGCAGUGGAAACUGAAAUGCUGGAGUGCGGUAGGGGUAAAGGGAAUUCCCGGUGUAGCGGUGAAAUGCGUAAAGAUCGGGAAGAACACCAGUGGCGAAGGCGCUCUACUAGGCCGCAACUGACACUCAUGGACGAAAGCUAGGGGAGCGAAUGGGAUUAGAUACCCCAGUAGUCA
rnacentral:rRNA from 1 species